rnacentral:rRNA from 1 species
GAAAGGCGUGCGAUACAGGGUGACAGCCCCGUACACAAAAAUGCACAUAUUGUGAGCUCGAUGAGUAGGGCGGGACACGUGGUAUCCUGUCUGAAUAUGGGGGGACCAUCCUCCAAGGCUAAAUACUCCUGACUGACCGAUAGUGAACCAGUACCGUGAGGGAAAGGCGAAAAGAACCCCGGCGAGGGGAGUGAAAAAGAACCUGAAACCGUGUACGUACAAGCAGUGGGAGCACGCUUAGGCGUGUGACUGCGUACCUUUUGUAUAAUGGGUCAGCGACUUAUAUUCUGUAGCAAGGUUAACCGAAUAGGGGAGCCGAAGGGAAACCGAGUCUUAACUGGGCGUUAAGUUGCAGGGUAUAGACCCGAAACCCGGUGAUCUAGCCAUGGGCAGGUUGAAGGUUGGGUAACACUAACUGGAGGACCGAACCGACUAAUGUUGAAAAAUUAGCGGAUGACUUGUGGCUGGGGGUGAAAGGCCAAUCAAACCGGGAGAUAGCUGGUUCUCCCCGAAAGCUAUUUAGGUAGCGCCUCGUGAAUUCAUCUCCGGGGGUAGAGCACUGUUUCGGCAAGGGGGUCAUCCCGACUUACCAACCCGAUGCAAACUGCGAAUACCGGAGAAUGUUAUCACGGGAGACACACGGCGGGUGCUAACGUCCGUCGUGAAGAGGGAAACAACCCAGACCGCCAGCUAAGGUCCCAAAGUCAUGGUUAAGUGGGAAACGAUGUGGGAAGGCCCAGACAGCCAGGAUGUUGGCUUAGAAGCAGCCAUCAUUUAAAGAAAGCGUAAUAGCUCACUGGUCGAGUCGGCCUGCGCGGAAGAUGUAACGGGGCUAAACCAUG